ensembl:snoRNA SNORD33 Small nucleolar RNA Z195/SNORD33/SNORD32 family
GUAGCCAGUGAUGAAGACUUCUCCCACUCAUGUUCGAGUUUCCCAACCGUGAGAUGACUCCACAUGCACUACCAUCUGAGGCCAC